UAUAAUAUGUUUUAUAUCAUCAAAGAGGUUUUUACUUUAUAUUAGUUUUUAUAACUAUUUGUAACAACCGUGGAAGUUAGAUCUUUUUUCCAGAAUAUAUAAUUGAUUGAUUGAUUGAUUGAUUGUAUCAGUUUUUACACAAACUUUCCCUAGACUUUUUUGGACCUCUUGCUUAAACAAAACUUGGAAAAAAAUGUAUUAUUAAAAUUAUUGAUUGUUAAAGUAAAUAUACUGAAAAAAUAACAAUUUAUGUAACUACUUUAUUUUAUAUAUUUUUGAUACUCUUCAAAAGAUUAUAAAAUUUUACAUAAUUUAAUAUAGUCUGCUUAUUUUCAUCAAUCCAAUCAAUGAGAAAAAGGUUCAGAGUUUAAACUGGUAAUAGUAUUAACAGUUAAAAAAAUACUUUGAAAUUAACAAAGUGCUUUGAAAAAAGCUAUUUGUUAAUGAUAGUAUCAUUGUAAAAUGGACUGUCGAAGUUCAAAUUUUUCUAAAUUUUUCUUUCAAGUUUUUCAAUUCAGUCUAAAGACAAGGCCUUAGAGAUUUUAAGAGACUCAUCUGGCUGGUCAGAUGACACCUUGAUUGAUAUAGCACAAAGUUUGUUUUUAUAUCAGUUUUCUAAAAUAUUUAGAUUUCCAAGUUUAAAAUAUCUGAGUUUUUUUUGCAUUUUUACUUGUUCAUUCAAGUGGCUUUUCAGAAAGUUAUAUUGGGGGUUUAUAAGUAAUGUCUCCUGAUGUUGUUUCACAUUGAAAGUGUGUUCAGUUUUAUGAUUCACUCUUUAAUAGUUCAAGUAAAAAUGAUGCACCAUUGUUAGUGCAUAAAGUUGUACAUUAAAAUGAAACGCGACGGUAUGAUGGUGUGACAGUAUAUUUGUGUAGCAGUAUCAACCUAAGUUUGAUUAUAUAAAAAGGUAAUGAAAUGAGCUAACAUAACCUUAAAUAUAUUGAGAAUGGAACAUUAGAGAUGUUACCUUUUGUUACUAUGUUAUACUUUCAUAAAAGGUGUGCCUUUAGUACUAUCAUUGUUGUGAAUGUAUCUUAUUGUUACUGCUGUUUUUGUUUUUGUUUUUGUGACUUAAUUGAAUAUUUAAAUUCAAUCAUUAUAUGUAAAUACAUUUUUUUUAUUUUAUUGUUAGUUUGUUUAUGUUUGCUAUUGUUCAUGUUGUUUUUUUUAUUGUUGGUAAUGUUUAUGCAUGUUUUAGUUAAUAUUUAAAAAGUUCAUUACUUAUUUUAUUUUUGUAAAUGUCUUAUAGAUGUGUAAAGUUAUACAAUUGGCUAAUUUAGGUCAACUAGUGCUUGUUCUUUAUUUUGUAGAAUAUUGUAAAAGUAUAGACUAUUCUGGCAUGUUGAUACCAUGGCUGUUUUAACAUUUUUAAUAUUUAUUUGAUUUAUAAAUUUAAAUCCUUCUGGCACACAUUUAGAGUUCAUUUUGUAAAUCAAUUUAUUGACGUAUAUUGAUAAAUGCAUUUAUUAAGUACUCUUUUGGUACAAAAGCAGGCUUGUAAUUCCAUGUAGAAAAAUCGAAUUUCUU